rnacentral:rRNA from 1 species
UACAGAGGCCUCAAGCGUUAGGCGGAAUCACUGGGCUUAAAGCGUGUGUAGGCGGAUGUCUAAGUGCCUUGUGAAAUCCCAUGGCUCAACCAUGGAACUGCUGGGCAUACUGGACGUCUUGAGCCAUCCAGGGGUCGCUGGAACAAACGGUGGAGCGGUGAAAUGCGUAGAUAUCGUUUGGAACGCCAAAGGUGAAGACAGGCGACUGGGGAUGUGCUGACGCUGAGACACGAAAGCCAGGGGAGCAAACGGGAUUAGAUACCCCGGUAGUCCUGGCCCUAAACGAUGUCCACUAGAUUAUGGCGCCUUUGACGGCGUCAUGGUCGAAGCAAAAGUGUUAAGUGGACCGCCUGGGAAGUACGGUCGCAAGGCUAAA